GAACAACUUCCGGUUCCAGCCGGAAAAGGCUGGUGUGCAGCGCUGCUCUCCGGCCCAGGCGCCCGGCUGGUAAGUUCCGCCCCGGGACAGGAAGGGGAGGGCGUCUGGUCUUUCCGUAGGGUUUCCUAGCGCUGGAAGAGGAGGGAAGGCAGCUCGGUGGAUGGGCGAGCUCGCCUCGCCCGCGUGAAGACGUGGGAAUAAAUAUGUGCGUACCCGCCAGCUAAUCAUAGCAUUCAUUCGGGUGAUGGGUCAGAACUUCAAUGUCGUUUUCGAAGCAGGCUUGGGAUACAUGGGACCGUGUCGCAAAAAUAAUGGGCGGAUGAAAAAGCCAGUUCUAGAAAUACCAGUUUGGAAUGCCUUGUACAAGAAAGUAAGGUAACUGUGGGGCGGAGCCUAGAAGGAAUGCUAACAGUGGUGAUGGAUGAGAAUGUGCAAAACGACCCAGGAGCUCUCUUGAAGACUCUACUAGCCAAAUCUGUGAAAUUUCAGUAUCAAAAUAAUAAAGGGAGGGCAGGAUAGAAGAGAACAGCUCACCUUCCAGCCGCCAGGAACCAGCAAGAGAAUCCAUGAGUUUUUAGUGACAUAGAGAAGCAAACAAAGGGGCCAGGGAAAUGGCUCAUCAAUGGUGACUUCAGUCUUCAGUGGCUCUUGCUUGUAGUGCUAGGACUAGGGAAAGCAGAGAAAGGCUGAUCCCCGAGUCUGCUGGCUAGCUGCUGUGAGGGCCCUGAUGAAGAAUAAUGAAGGGCUGGUGGGAUGGCUCAGCCAGCAAAGGCACUCGCUAAACAAGCCCAUCGAGCUGACCUUGAUGCCUGGCACUCAUAAUGGAAGGAGAGAAGUGACCUCUAAAAAUCAUCCCCUGAGCUGGCCAGUGGUGGUGCACACCUUAGAUCCCAGCACUCGGAAGGCAGAGACAGGAGGAUCUCUGUGAGUUCAAGGCCAGCCUGAUCUACAGAGCCAGUUCCAGGACAGCCAGGGACUACACAGAGAAACUUUCCUGUCUCGAAAAACUACUAAUAGUAAUGCUGAUGACUCCUCUAAAGAAACCCUAGUUCAAUCUCUGCCUAUAUGAACACAUGUGCUAGUGCAUGUGCAGCCACACCCCGUGUUCAUAUAUAUACACACACAGAGAAAGAUAGACAGACCAUGAUGGCCAUAAUCCCAGGACUUGGAAGGCUGAGGCAAGAGAACUACGAAUUCAAGGCCAGCUGGGCUACAGAUACUGCCUCAAAAGCUGGCUCAAGGGUUGAAAGCACUGCUUGCCCUUCCAUGGGGCCUGGGUUCACCUCUCAGCAUGCACAUGGCAGUUCACAACCAUGUGUAACUCCAGUUCCAAGGAAUCUGAUGCCUGCUUCAGGCUUCCAUGGGCACCAGGCAUGCACAUGGUGCACAGCACACAGGUAGACAAAAUACUUAUAUACACAAAAACAAGCAAAGCACACACAGGAAAGAAAGAAAAGAAUAAACAAGGAGAAGAGAAACUUGCAGCCUCUCCUUUUAUUAGAACGGCAAGUAGUAAAUAGGAUUUGGAAGGUCAGGAGUGAGGAAACGAAACAGGAUACUUACACAGAUGUGCCUCUCACCAAUUAGUCACCACAAUGCAAAACUCGUACUGUUAUAAUCUCUUGGUCCAGAAGAACAAAUUAAUCAAGGCAACCAAUGUCAACAUCUCCUCAAUGGGUCAUGCAGCGAUCACAAGCCUCCUGAUAAGAUACAAUGAGCAGGGCACACAUCACUUCUGUGUGAUUGCUGUGUCAUUAAGUGACAGAGCUCUUCCGUAGCACUCCUGAAGUUCUGAGGCUCAUCCUCUAUACCACCAUCACCACCACCACCCCCAAAAAACCAAAGUGCAUAGCCAAAUCUCAGAAGAAAACAUUGGAUCAACUACUACAAAAUAGCUAUCCAAGUGCUGAAAAAGCAGGGACUAAAGGAGACUAAAGGAACAUGGCCACAAGAUGUUCAUGGUUUAAAGUUGCAUCCUGAGCUGAGGAAUGCAGAAGAGCUUUAAUGAACAGUACUGAGACUAAUAAUAGCAUUUACAUAUGGACGGAAGUUUAAUGUUAAUAAAUACUGUUUCACAUGGCACUGCAUGGAGGCCUCUGGAACACGGAGCGCAGAACCCCAGCCAUGGGGGUGGGAAUUCUCUCUUCAGAGGCUCCACCAGAAGCUCAGGGAUGGGCAACACCAAUGGUGAUCAAAGCGGACAGCACUCCAGUCAGGGCUACACAGUGGGAACGGGCGACCGCUGUGUCCACUCCGAACGUCCCCGCAGCCGGAAGGACUCAACUGCUUUCUUAAUCCAAAGUCCCAAAGUCCACAUUCUGCUCACAAGCAGCAAGGUGCAGACUUGGUACUUGAAGAGGUCAGAAGAGGGUGUUGUAUGCUCUGGGACUGGAGUUAUGGAUGGUUGUGAGCCACAAUGUAGGUGCUGAGAAUUGAACCUGGGUCCUCUGCAAGAGGAGCAAGUACUCUUAACUACGGAGCCAUCUCUCCAGCCCUGUAAAUAAAUGUGCUCAUCUGAGACCCAGAAAGAACAAGGAAGAUGCUGUGAGUCCUGGCUAAACAGAGAUGCUGAGCACAUGUCAUGUGAACUCCGAUCAUUUCUUAUCUGCAUUCUAUAAGGAUUCACCUAGCUGAGGAUCAUAGACUGGAGCUCAGAGGAGCUCGGUCCCAACAUCCAUAGUCAUAGUUUUUCUUACACAUAAUGUAUAAGACCUCAUAUGGAACCUGCAUCAAUAUGAUGAAGGGACUGAAGUUCCAGCAGGCCAUGUGUCCUUAAAAUUCCUGCCAGAUGAGGCCCGGAGCCUGCCCACAUCCAAACUGAAUGACCUGUGGCUUCCUGAGCUACUCCACCUCCUGGCUGGACAGCAUGCUUCAGAGGAGGCCUGUGAUAAAAGCAGGAGAUUUUCCUGAAAAAGAGAAGACUUACGGUGAAAUUCUUGAGGCAUUCCAUCCAGGGCAUUGAAGUUUUCAAAAGGCUUGCUGCUGCUCACCACGACAGGAAUAUUUUCUGAAUUUUAUGGGCUAUCUUUCUGUGACAGUUGAAGUUUAGGUUAAUAUGUUAACACCUGAAAUUAAAAUAGUUAUUGUG
rnacentral:lncRNA from 1 species